GUUGUAUUUAACUUGAAAGGUAGGAUUUAGUAUUAUAUUACUGUGUCAAACAUAUUCACGGAUAAUUUAAAACUUAUUUAAAACUCCGAAACAUUCGCUUCAAACGUAAAUCUGAAAUAGCAAAAAAUAUCCCGACUUUUGGGAAAAACCGUGAUAUUCUUUUUAAAACAAUUUUGUUUUGUAUCCUAUAAAUAUCUCAAUUUGUACGAUACUAUUUCUUUUGACUAUGUCGUGUUUUCAUUGUGCUGUAUGGUGUCCUUUCGCUGUAUUGUACUAUUUGUGUUUUUAAAACUUGUAAAGUGAAAAGUGUAUUAAAACUUUUAUAUUAAUUUGAACGAUAUAGUUUUACAUUUCAUUUUACCAAAUUUCUCAGCCAUUUCCUGAACAAAAUAAUGCUAAACAGAAACUAUUUUUUAAUUCUAAGUCUGGUAAAAAAGUCAUUCCAUCAUUGUGUUUAUAUUCUAAGCAGAAAUCGAGAAAAAUAACUUUGUAAUAAAGCAAUAAAGUCGCACAGGAUGCCAUUUUGAAAGCGUGCGUGUACAAGAAACACUGCAACACUAAACCGUAAAGCGGUCGAAAACAGUUUUAUUUCUGAAUUUUAAUUAAACUUAUAGUUGGAUAACUUGGAUAUUUUGUUUUAUUCAUUAAAAAUUUAUACUAAAACAAUUAUUCGCCUCAGGCUCAGUGAUUACGGUGAAUAUUCACCUCGACUUCGUCUCGGUGAAUAUUCACCGGUAAUCACUUCGCCUUCGGCGAAUAAUUGUUAAGUAAAUCACGCAAUUCAGCUGUCCAGCUGCAAGGUGAAUUUUAAAUACACUAUCUAUCUAUCUAUCUAUCUAUCUAUAUUAUAAAACAAUUAUACCAUUCGCUCUCGUCGUAUAUCAGCUGAUAGCCGACUCGGUGCUAUGCAUCUCGUCGGCUAUCAAUAAUAUACAUGGGCGUACCGGAAGAAAAAAAUUAGGGGGGCGGCAAGAAAAUUGCCCGACUUUUCGAGAUUCUGCCCGACUUUUCGGGAUUCUGCCCGACUAGGACCAAAAAAAUUUUUCCGGAAAAAUUAUUUUGGCGACCUCCCCCCCCCCCGUCGCCAAAAAAAAUUUCGGUCAGUGUACCAUUUUAGGGGUCAAAAAAAUUUUCCGGACAAACAAUUUUUCAGGAGCAUAACAUAAAUUUUCGAAAAAAACAAAAUUUGCCAAAAAAUUGAAUUAAUUUUAGACAAAAUUGACAGAAUUUGACCCAUUUUUUUUUAUUGCAAACCAAAAUUGCCCGACUGUUCAUCGAAUAUUGCCCGACUGCCCAAAAAACUGGGGGGGCUGCCGCCCCCCCCGCCCCCCCGCCCGGUACGCCUAUGAAUUAAUAUACGAUUCGAGCUCAUGGUAUAAUUGUUAAAUUUUCGUGUUCUGCAUUAUUAAUUUCUUUUGAAAUCGAUUGUUUUUAAGGUCUGUGAACACGAAUAUAUGAAUAUGCCCCCCCCCCCACACUUAUUGAUCUUUCGACGCCAAUGGUUUCCAACAAGACUACAACGAAAAAGGAAUGUUCGAAGGGGCCGAAGUUAUGUUCGGCGAAAGAUAUUAUGUAUUAUAAUUUAUUGAAAUAAUCUAGUUAAAUCGGAAACUCAUGUUAGUCAUCUUCAAGUAACGUGAUCGCACGCAAGCACAGAGACGAAAGUCGCAACAUUUUACCAGAUUUUACCAAUGGAUAUUACAUUCUAUUAAAUCAUGGUUUUAAGGCCACGUUUUAAAGGAAUUUUGGCAAUAUGUGGAGGAGUUUUAGUACAUCUUUCCUUGGGCACACUUUAUACAUUUGGUAA